GGCUCAGUAGUUCAACUGGAUAGAAUAUCAGAUUUCGGCUCUGAGGGUUGGGGGUUCGAAUCCUCCCUGGGCCACCA
rnacentral:tRNA from 2 species